GCCCUCAUAGCUCAGCGGUAGAGCGCGACACUAGUACGCUCCCCCUAUAACUACUGGAAUGUCGAGGCCAUGAGUUCGACUCUCAUUGAGGGCA
rfam:Fonsecaea multimorphosa CBS 102226 unplaced genomic scaffold supercont1.19, whole genome shotgun sequence.